CCUGGAGUGGCCUAGCCAGUCUCAACCCCAUAGAAAAUCUUUGAGGGAGUUGAAAGUCCGUGUUGCCCAGCAACAGCCCCAAAACAUCACUGCUCUAGAGGAGAUCUGCAUGGAGGAAUGGGCCAAAAUACACAACAAGUGUGUGAAAACCUUGUGAAGAAGACUUACAGAAAACGUUUGAACCUCUGUCAUUGCCAACAAAGGGUAUAUAACAAAGUAUUGAGAUGAACUUUUGUUUGACCAAAUACUUAUUUUCCCCCCAUAAUUUGCAAAUAAUUUCAUAAAAAAAUCCUACAAUGUGAUUUUCUGGAUUUUUUUUCUCAUUAAUAAUAUAUAUAUAUUAUAUUAUAUAUAUCUGUCAGUGUACCUAUGAUGAAAUUUACAGGCCUCUCAUCUUUUUAAGUGGGAGAACUUGCACAAUUGGUGGCUGACUAAAUACUUUUUUGCCCACUGUAGGUAUUUUCAGAUUAUUUUUUUGCAUGGGGGUGGGUGGGCUUCUAAACGUAUAGAAGUUAAUAGAAAUAGAAAAUAGAAGGAGGAGGGAGGGGUUGGGUUGGUUCGUCUAGUGUGGGGAGUCUACAGCAGGGAUGGCAACUGUCAGGGACCGAAGUGUCUCGAGGGUCAGUGUACCCCAUCAUGCAGGGCCGAAGUGGCUCGAGGGUCAGCGUACCCAUCAUGCAGGGCCGAAGUGGCUCGAGGGUCAGCGUUCCAUCAUGCAGGGCCGAAGUGUCUCGAGGGUCAGCGUUCCCAUCAUGCAGGGCCGAAGGUCUCGAGGGUCAGCGUAACCAUCAUGCAGGGUCGAAGUGUCUCGAGGGUCAGCGUAACCAUCAUGCAGGGUCAAAGUGUCUCGAGGUCAGCGUACCCAUCAUGCAGGGCCGAAGUGGCUCGAGGGUCGCGUACCCAUCAUGCAGGGGCCAAAGUGGCUCGAGGGUCGCGUUCCCAUCAUGCAGGGGCCGAAGUGUCUCGAGGGUCAGCGUAACCAUCAUGCAGGGUCAAAGUGUCUCGAGGGUCAGCGUACCCAUCAUGCAGGGCCGAAGUGGCUCGAAGGGUCAGCGUACCCAUCAUGCAGGGCCGAAGUGGCUCGAGGGUCAGCGUUCCCAUCAUGCAGGGCCGAAGUGGCUCGAGGGUCAGCGUUCCCAUCAUGCAGGGCCGAAGUGGCUCGAGGGUCAGCGUUCCCAUCAUGCAGGGCCGAAGUGGCUCGAGGGUCAGCAUUCCCAUCAUGCAGGGCCGAAGUGGCUCGAGGGUCACGUUCCCAUCAUGCAGGGCCAAAGUGGCUCGAGGUCAGCAUUCCCAUCAUGCAGGGCCAAUUCCACACAUUUUCAGGUGGGGAGAAAUGUUUGCAGUUUUUAAUAUAUCUGAAUGAGAGUGACUAACAGAAUCAAUGGUUGACCAUGCCUGCUCUACAGACACGAACUAGUCAAACCAUCCAGGGCUUAGUCCAUCAAAAACACCUACUGAGGUCAGCAAAAAAAUACAGUUAUUUGUGAAUCUUUUUCUAUUAUUCAGCAAUGUAUUAACCAUUGAACAUAGACAUUAAAGGGAAUCUAUGAACUCUAUGGACUCAAUAUUACAGUGUUGUCAAUACUUUUGAUAGUUUCCUAUGUUUUCUGGAUGCCCUGAUGCAGUGGUUCCCAACCAGGGUACUAAGACCCUGGGGGUAUUUGGUCUAUCCACAGGGGUUACUAGAGAAGACUCAUGAGACCACAGGCCUAAUGGUAAAAUCCUCAGGACGGGGUACUUCAGGGUACUCCAGGCAGGAGCAGAUUCAGUUGGUGGCCACAGUAACCAAAACAGGUUGGGAACCACUGGCCUAAAGGGUCUAGACAUCACCAGCUAUCACCACUGUAAAUGACCAGUACAGACAGUCUCCUCAUGGUUGGGAACCACUGGUCUAUAGGUCUAGACAUCACCAGCAUACACCACUGUAAAUGACCAGUACAGACAGUCUCCUCAUGGCCAGCCAAGUAACACCAUCAAGUCUUGGGGAUGGCUUAGGGUGGGUGGGGCUACUGUGGCUGGUGUUUUGCAGGACAGAGACAGGAAGUUAUAGUUAUGUGGUUGAAUGAGUGUUUGAGAUAAGGUGACAUGUUCUAUAAGGUCUGGUAUUCUGCAGGGCGAGAUGUGGAGGGGUCUAUAAGGUCUGGUCUUUCUGCAGGCUGAGAUGUGGGGGGGUCUAUAAGGUCUGGUCUUUCUGCAGGGCUGAGAUGUGGAGGGGUCUAUAGGUCUGGUCUUUCUGCAGUCGGAGAUGUGGAGGGGUCUAUAAGGUCUGGUCUUUCUGCAGGUGAGAUGUGGAGGGGUCUAUAAGGUCUGGUCUUUCUGCAGGGCUGAGAUGUGGAGGGGUCUAUAAGGUCUGGUCUUUCUGCAGGGCUGAGAUGUGGAGGGGUCUAUAAGGUCGGUCUUUCUGCAGGGCUGAGAUGUGGAGGGGUGGAGGUGCUCGUCCAUCCACUCCCUCAGCUGUCCAUCCUUGAAGAUGAGGUUGAGAGCGGGCAGCGGAACACCAGACUCGGCCGGGGGCUGGCUGAGAGGACCGGACACUCCACUGUCAGGGUCGGGCUGACCCUGGGCUGCCAUCCUAAAAGACACACAGGUCAGGGGUCAAAGGUCAGUUUUUUAUAACACAGUACAUUAG
rnacentral:lncRNA from 1 species